ensembl:miRNA cin-mir-1473 cin-mir-1473
GCGGCUCUGGCACCCACGUAUUCGAUCUUGCGAGAGAUAAAGGACAUCUCAAGCUCGGGUUUAUGGGUGUUGGACCAAGC